CGGAAGUGUGCAGAUGGAGGGGAUAUUUGGACUAAUCCAGGUUCAAGCCUCUGGGGUUUUUGCUGGCCAUGGAAUUGGGGGGUUAGCUGUCCUGACAGCACUAAAUCCCUUUUUAUCUCUUCUUCCCUUUGUUGUGGAUUUGCAGUGCCGUGGUGCCCGAGUGUGGGGCAGGAUCCAGGCGCUGUGGGAUGCCUGAAGUGGAGCCUUAAGCCAGCAAAGGACUUGAGUCACGGCCAUGUUCACCUCAGGACAAGUUUGGUAUUCACAGAGUGGCGUCAGCCCUGCACAUAGCCCGGGUGGUGCUGAGUGUUGGGGAGAUCCUGCAGAUCAGUGCUGCCUGAACCACACUGAUAAAGUCUCCAGGCCUCUUCCUUGGGGAGGUGAAUCGUGGUGUGAUGGUGCCUUUUCCAAAAGCAGGGUCAGACACGGAGCAGGGAAAGGAAGCUUUUCUCCUGUGUGAUAUGAUGCCCCAGCUGGUGUUUACACUGAAACCAAAGUGUGGAUCUGGACUCCUUGGAGAAUGAAAUGAGGGAAUUUAUCAGCAGAUAGCAGGUGAGUGAGAGUAGGUGUCUUCUGUGAUGUGACUGUGACUUAGAGUGAUCGAUGUGAUGGCUGCUGUCACUUUGGCCAAACGUCCUGAGCCUGGAGCUUGGGGUGUUCAGGAAGAAUUUCUUCAUGGAAAAGGCUGUUAAGCAUUGGAAGGGGCUGCCCAGGGGAGUGAUGGAGUCCACAUCCCUGGAGGUGUUGAAGGAAAGACUGGAUGUGGCACUCGGUGCUCGGGGCUGGGUGACAAGGUGGGGAUUAAUCAUAGAUCGCUCUUGGCUGGAAAAGACCUCCCAGACCAUCAAAAUGAUUCUGUGAUUCUGCUUUAUGAAGGAUCCCUGCUUCUUUUUGUUGUGCUUGGGGAUCUCUCUUGUUCCCCUGACAGCUACAGGUGUCCUUGGGGCUUCAGGUCCUAUCUUUUCCAGGAGGUCAAAUUCACUGUGUUAAGGCUUGGCUGGAAAAAUGAGUACAAAUCAAACAUAAUCCAUAACCUGGAGCGAGUCCUCCUGCUUAACUCUUGGGCUUUCUGGUAAAGCAUCUCCAUGUGCCUCAGAGGCAGGCACUGAGCAAAUAAAAAUACAUCUGCUCUGUGAGAAAGGCUUUAU
rnacentral:lncRNA from 1 species